ACACGAUGAACACUCAGAUGACGAGUCUGAACCGCUCGGCGCCAAGUUCCUUGCUGUCGAUGUUACUUGACGAUAAAACCAUUAAAUUACCAUUCAUGCAUUUCUGAUC
rnacentral:snoRNA from 1 species